CGAAAAGGCAAAAUAAUGGCUUGCAACAAUCCUGUUUGUGGAAGAGAUUAUGAUGACAAAGAAGUCUGGAAUAAACAAGAAACCUCCGAACCACCAUAACUGUGUCUGCUACAAUGUGUGUUCUUGCAACCAGCUGAUUGAUUCAUUUUAUCAACUCUCAAAUGGUUGAUUAUCAGAACUGAAUUCAGAGCUGCUCCUGUCUGUAGUAACAUCAUUAUAAGAGUGGACUUCAGAAUGAGGGCGUUGCUUGUUUAAAAACUUCACUCCAUGGAGCUCUUCAAAUUUAUCUCAAAUUAGACUGCUUCUGGAAACCAGAUUUGUUCCUUCAAGCAGAGACGAUUGUGGCUUUCCUGACUGGACUUCUAUGGAUUCUUUAUGCCAACCUUAAUGACUGUGGUCUUCUACAUGAGACACAUCAAUUUCAAACAAGACAUUCUGUGGUGAAACACUUGAUGAAGAUGAUAUGAAAUUUUUAUUUCAUAUAACUGAAUCUCAGAAGUAAUUCCUCAGGAGUAAGAAACAAUGAAAAUUAAAAAUAAAAGGUCCAUCAAUAAUGAAUGUCUUGAGCAGUGUUCUUUUUGUGCACAGAACAAUGGAUCUUUUCAUUUCCAAGCAGGGAUGUAGUCAAUGCUGACUUCGAGACAACAUUUUGCUGGCCUUGGUCCGAGUCACUGUACAGAAUCUAUGGAUAGUUCUCUCAAGCUGCCUCAUGACUCAGAAGAAUCAGCCUCGACCUCAUCCCUGUAUGCAAGUGUGAUAUAUAUCUACCAUGCAAUCUCAUGAUUAAAGAGAGAGAAACAAGAGAGCUUCAGAUUUUGAAGUGUAGCAAUCUCCUGAAAUGUAUGUUUUAUUUGAAAAUCAAACUAAAAUAACUUAAUUGGGCAUGUUAUUCAUUAUGAUAUGUAUGAAUGAAAGCAUUGAAGCAAUUUGGUGCUCUUGCAAAACAAAUUCUGAGUUGUAUUUACUGCAAACCCUCAGAAAUAUUGAUAAGCAUUUGCCAGUGCAUGAAGUGUUUUAAUGAAGAGUGGCUUUUUUGUGCCU